rnacentral:rRNA from 7 species
UGCCAGUGAUAAACUGGAGGAAGGUGGGGAUGACGUCAAGUCAUCAUGGCCCUUACGACCAGGGCUACACACGUGCUACAAUGGCGCAUACAAAGAGAAGCGACCUCGCGAGAGCAAGCGGACCUCAUAAAGUGCGUCGUAGUCCGGAUUGGAGUCUGCAACUCGACUCCAUGAAGUCGGAAUCGCUAGUAAUCGUGGAUCAGAAUGCCACGGUGAAUACGUUCCCGGGCCUUGUACACACCGCCCGUCACACCAUGGGAGUGGGUUGCAAAAGAAGUAGGUAGCUUAACCUUCGGGAGGGCGCUUACCACUUUGUGAUUCAUGACUGGGGUGAAGUCGUAACAAGGUAACCGUAGGGGAACCUGCGGUUGGAUCACCUCCUUA